rnacentral:rRNA from 1 species
CAGCCGUAAACGAUGGGUACUAGGUGUUGGUGGAGUUAUCUACCAGUGCCGCAGUUAACACAUUAAGUAUCCCGCCUGGGGAGUACGGCCGCAAGGUUGAAACUCGAAGGAAUUGACGGGGGCCCGCACAAGCAGUGGAGCAUGUGGUUUAAUUCGAAGCAACGCGAAGAACCUUACCGGGGUUUGACAUCUGACGGACCUGGUAGAGAUACCGGGGUGCCCUUUAUGGGAGCGUCAAGACAGGUGGUGCAUGGUUGUCGUCAGCUCGUGUCGUGAGAUGUUGGGUUAAGUCCCGCAACGAGCGCAACCCUUGUGCCUAGUUGCCAGCGCGUAGAGGCGGGCACUCUAGGCAGACUGCCGCAGACAAUGCGGAGGAAGGUGGGGAUGACGUCAAAUCAUCAUGCCCUUUAUAUCCCGGGCUACACACGUGCUACAAUGGCCUGUACAGCGGGUAGCGAAGGAGCGAUCCGGAGCCAAUCCCUGAAAGCAGGUCUCAGUUCGGAUUGCAGGCUGCAACUCGCCUGCAUGAAGUCGGAAUUGCUAGUAAUCGCGGAUCAGCAUGCCGCGGUGAAUACGUUCCCGGGCCUUGUACACACCGCCCGU